UUUUAAAUUUAGAGUUUGAUCCUGGCUCAGGACGAACGCUGGCGGCGUGCUUAACACAUGCAAGUCGAGCGAUGAAGCUUCCUUCGGGAAGUGAAUUAGCGGCGGACGGGUGAGUAACACGUGGGUAACCUGCCUCAAAGUGGGGGAUAGCCUUCCGAAAGGAAGAUUAAUACCGCAUAAUAUGAGAGAAUCGCAUGAUUUUCUUAUCAAAGAUUUAUUGCUUUGAGAUGGACCCGCGGCGCAUUAGCUAGUUGGUA
rnacentral:rRNA from 1 species